UACGGCCACAUCACGUUGAAAUACUAGUUCCCAUACGAUGACCGAAGUUAAACAACGUUGCGCCUGGUCAGUACCUAGAGGGGUGACCGUUUGCGAAUACGAGUCGCUGUAA